rnacentral:sRNA from 1 species
AUUAUGGGAACCAUUAUUCUGCUUAAAAGAUUUCUGUACUUUCUCUGAGGAGAAAAAUCAACACGAUGUUAAGCAUUCUUUGCUCUGUAAAGACAUGAUAAUCAAUAGAAGAUUUAAAACGCCGACCACCCAUUGUGCUUAUCAGCAGUUGAUUUAAAUGUGCAUUGGAUAAUGAAGUUCAUUCAUAACUCGAGCAGGGGGCGCGUCUUACACGGAGCAGCCGAUCUCAUUGCGUCAGUAAGCUUGGUGUAAACAAUUCUAUUGAGGAGACCACCCGGCUACUGGCGAUAUUGAGAAAAAUAAGCGGAACGCAGAACUUUAUUGGCCAAAAUCUUUACAUGGGAUCCGCCACUGGACAAUAAAAGGUUGAUUAAGUGGAAUUUUAUUGGAGAUCCGCUCCGCAGUAUCCCCCUUGAAUCUAUUUGAUGGCAUGAGUUUUAUGUGUUGGUUUGUGCGUUUGGUAAAGGUUCUUCGUCCAAAUCGCCCACUUUUACUACAUUCUGUAAAGCCAAUUUCCAUUUUAUUUAUGUGCUUGAUUUCCGCUUUAAUGAAGACGUAAUUGGAAAUACGGUAGUAGCUGCGCGUGUGGCCCUGAUGGAGAUAAGAGGCUCUCGAGAGGGGGAAGCUUCUCGCCGCGUGAAAAUUGAUCAGGACGAUUGCACGGAGAGAGGGGCCACGGCAAAGACCGGGGGAUUGUUUAUCGGUGGGAUUAGCACAGUCUUAUGUAGCGUGCCUUCGGUCAGUAAUUGGCCUGGAUGGGUGGUCUAAUCAUCAACGUCACUUACCUUUCAGCGACCCACGUGACUUUAAUGGCUUCCAUCAAUAUCAAUCUCGUAUAUAAAAAUGGCGGUAGAUCCUCGGUGUGCCCCAGGUAUAACCCGCCGACCAUGUAGUUAGCCCAGAAAAGCAGAUCACUCGUAUCAAAUUACAAAACAGCGGUCUUUCUCUAUUGUAUAUAUUCUUCUGGAAUCUUUUCCUUUUUAUAUUGCGAAAGUAUAACAUAAUUUGUUCUUGUAGACAGUGAGAAAAAAGCCAGGCUUUAUCAACGAGGAAUCGAUUUGGGGGAACUCAAUUUGAUCCCACCCCACCCAUUUUACAGCUUUUCUUUUUCUCUUUAAAUGUUGAUAGUGAUCGGGAAUUUUGCUUUGUCACGCGAUUUAGACUGCAUUUUCAACCAUUAAUUAGUCUAAGCGUUAAGAAAAGAAUCCGGGUACUUGAUGGAAUCUGCUGCUUCGUAAGACCAGAGAUUCGGUGAGCUGAUUUAAUGAAAACUUGGCCAGACGAUUGUGAGCAGAAAUUCUUCAUCAAUGUAAAACAAUUCUUCGAUUGUCGAAAAUGUCGAGGUCUUAUCACGUAAAGAGACUGAUGAAUUUGAACUAUGACUUAAAUAUGUAUGAAUACUCAUAAUUUUCUUGAUACCGAACUUGAACUAUGACUUAAAUAUGUAUUAAAACUUAAUUAUACUUACUUG